rnacentral:tRNA from 4 species
GCGGGCGUGGUGAAAUUGGUAGACACGCCAGAUUUAGGUUCUGGUGCCGCGAGGCUUAAGAGUUCGAGUCUCUUCGUCCGCACCA